CCUACGGGUGGCAGCAGUGGGGAAUAUUGGACAAUGGGCGAAAGCCUGAUCCAGCCAUGCCGCGUGUGUGAAGAAGGCCUUCGGGUUGUAAAGCACUUUCAGUGGGGAAGAAAGCCUUGGGGCUAAUACCCUCGAGGAAGGACAUCACCCACAGAAGAAGCACCGGCUAACUCCGUGCCAGCAGCCGCGGUAAUACGGAGGGUGCGAGCGUUAAUCGGAAUUACUGGGCGUAAAGCGCGCGUAGGCGGUCUGAUAAGCCGGUUGUGAAAGCCCCGGGCUCAACCUGGGAACGGCAUCCGGAACUGUCGGGCUAGAGUGCAGGAGAGGAAGGUAGAAUUCCCGGUGUAGCGGUGAAAUGCGUAGAGAUCGGGAGGAAUACCAGUGGCGAAGGCGGCCUUCUGGACUGACACUGACGCUGAGGUGCGAAAGCGUGGGUAGCAAACAGGAUUAGAUACCCCUGUAGUC
rnacentral:rRNA from 1 species